rnacentral:rRNA from 1 species
CACGUGGGGCGCGAGCGUUGUCCGGAAUUAUUGGGCGUAAAGAGCUCGUAGGCGGCCUGUUGCGUCCGCUGUGAAAGCCCGGGGCUUAACCCCGGGUCGGCAGUGGAUACGGGCAGGCUAGAGGUAGGUAGGGGAGAAUGGAAUUCCCGGUGUAGCGGUGAAAUGCGCAGAUAUCGGGAGGAACACCGGAGGCGAAGGCGCCUACCUGGACAACUACUGACGCUGAGGCGCGAAAGCGUGGGGAGCAAACAGG